AUCGAACGCUGGCGGCAGGCCUAACACAUGCAAGUCGAGCGAGCGGCGGACAGGUGAGUAAUGUAUGGGGACUGCCGGUUAGAGGGGGAUAACAACUGGAAACGGUAGCUAAUACCGCAUACAAUCGGCUAACGCAUAUGGGAUUAGCUAGUAGGUGAGGUAAUGGCUCCCCUAGGCGACGAUCCCUAGCUGGUCUGAGAGGAUGAUCAGCCACACUGGGACUGAGACACGGCCCAGACUCCGACGGAGGCAGCAGUGGGGAAGAUUGCACAAUGGGCGCAAGCCUGAUGCAGCCAUGCCGCGUGUAUGAAGAAGGCCCUAGGGUUGUAAAGUACUUUCAGUCGGGAGGCGUUACCGACAGAAGAAGCACCGGCUAACUCCGUGCCAGCAGCCGCGGUAAUAC
rnacentral:rRNA from 1 species